AAAUCCCAAAGUGAGGAUUUGCAGGGACUAGCUAGACAAUGCACUGGAGUCAUCAAGUGGGCACAUUUGGGAGAAAAGCUACUGCUACAAAUCUGUCAGAAGACGACUCAUUCAUGCUUUAUUAAAAAGGACAUGUGCAGGAGGAGCAAUGGUCGCCCCUGAAUCUUUCUAGAAGAAUGGAGACAAGUCACCACCAUCUCUCUCUACCUCAGCCCUUUCCCUCAGGUUCACCUUUCAGCCAAUGUUGACAGGCCCUGUGGGAUUUAUCCACGCACAGACCUACAUGCAGUGCCAAAUUCUCCCUCCAACCAGCAUAUCCACCCAGAAGCCUGCAUUUGGGCAACAUCUAUCAUCAAACGACUGACAUGGGACAUCCUUUUAACCAAAACAAGGAGUGCCAUCAGGACCUCUGAGGACACUUCCUUAUACCUGCAAACUUUCUCCUCCCUUCCAGAGUUGGAAGCAACGAUAAAGUGGCUGACAAAGUUCCAAAGGAGAAGAUUCAUCAUACUCAGAAGCUCCAUAAAGAAAGCUGGAUCCCAUCUACGAUCUCAUACAUUUUAUGAGAUCAACACUGAAGAGGUUAUAGUCAAGCAGUUAAGGUCACCUUUGUUCUCUU